rnacentral:rRNA from 1 species
CCUACGGGGGGCAGCAGUAGGGAAUCUUCCACAAUGGACGAAAGUCUGAUGGAGCAACGCCGCGUGAGUGAAGAAGGGUUUCGGCUCGUAAAGCUCUGUUGGUAGUGAAGAAAGAUAGAGGUAGUAACUGGCCUCUAUUUGACGGUAAUUACUUAGAAAGUCACGGCUAACUACGUGCCGGCAGCCGCGGUAAUACGUAGGGGGCAAGCGUUGUCCGGAUUUAUUGGGCGUAAAGCGAGUGCAGGCGGGUCAAUAAGUCUGAUGUGAAAAGCCUCGGGUCAACCGGAGAAAUGCAUCAGAAAAUG